CUAGAAAGUGGGAUAAGUGACGCAGUAUCCUAGUCAGGUAUGCCUUUUUUGAAGACGGGCCUAAAAAUCCGUCGCGGGCACAUCGAUGAAGUUCCUGGUGCUGGCUGCUGACGCCCAGUCGGGGGCUGGUACUGGGAGUUAAGGAGUGAGGGCGAGCCGCAAAGGCAUGCGGGCGUGGACCCUGACUCCGCGGAGACCCAAGUGCGUGGGAAAGCAUAAAAGCCGUACUAUGGCUUGGGGUGUGAACCUGCACGUGGUGAAAGCUGCGUGCAGUGUAGCCUGCCUUGAGUGGUAGCGGUGGAUGUCGUUGGCAGCCGGUACCUCAUAUCCCCGGUGGGCCCAGGGGAAGGUAGCCGGUGGACUGAAACCGUUACUGCAAAAGAGGCUAGAAAAAGGCCAUCCUGCCGGGGAAAACUCCUAGGCUGUCCGGUAACACCGGGGCAGUGCGGGGAUUGCAGUGUGGACUAAGUGGUAAUCCAGCCCCGGGACCGGCAACGUCCCGGAGGCAGCCCGAAGGGGAAACCGCCGGCCUGGCGACAGCCGGUGGCUGCUUGGGAAAACCUGCUGGACCUGAAGCCACAAUAUUUACCCGCGCUGCUGUCACUUGUCCCCAUGAUACA
rnacentral:sRNA from 1 species